GAUGAACGCUGGCGGCGUGCCUAAUACAUGCAAGUCGAGCGAACGGACGAGAAGCUUGCUUCUCUGAUGUUAGCGGCGGACGGGUGAGUAACACGUGGAUAACCUACUUAUAAGACUGGGAUAACUUCGGGAAACCGGAGCUAAUACCGGCUAAUAUUUUGAACCGCAUGGUUCAAAAGUGAAAGACGGUCUUGCUGUCACUUAUAGAUGGAUCCGCGCUGCAUUAGCUAGUUGGUAAGGUAACGGCUUACCAAGGCAACGAUGCAUAGCCGACCUGAGAGGGUGAUCGGCCACACUGGAACUGAGACACGGUCCAGACUCCUACGGGAGGCAGCAGUAGGGAAUCUUCCGCAAAGGGCGAAAGCCUGACGGAGCAACGCCGCGUGAGUGAUGAAGGUCUUCGGAUCGUAAAACUCUGUUAUUAGGGAAGAACAUAUGUGUAAGUAACUGUGCACAUCUUGACGGUACCUAAUCAGAAAGCCACGGCUAACUACGUG
rnacentral:rRNA from 1 species